rnacentral:ncRNA from 1 species
UAAUCAUUCAAUUAAAAGGGAAUCUGGUUAAACUCCAGAGCUGUUCCCGCAACUGUAAACUUAGUUUUGCUUUCGCAAAAUGCUUUUGAUUCUAAUCUUUGUCACUGGAAAUUUCUGGGAAGACUCAUCAAAAGACGUAAGCCAGGAGACCUGCCUAAUUCAAA